rnacentral:tRNA from 1 species
GGGGUUGUGGCUCAGUGGCAGAGCGCUUGCCUAGCACGCAAGAGGCACUAGGUUCAAUCCUCAGCACCA